rnacentral:RNase_P_RNA from 1 species
GGAGUUGGCUAGACAGCCGCUGUGCUUGCGCAGAGGAAAGUCCGGGCUCCACAGGGCAGGGUGCCAGGUAACGCCUGGGCGCCGCGAGGCGACGGAAAGUGCAACAGAAACAUACCGCCGAUGGCCCGGACUUUGACGUCGCAAGGCGGCAAAGUCCAUCCCGAAGGGGGAGACCCCAACGGGGGCGUCCCCUCGGGGGCGGGGAUCAGGCAAGGGUGAAAUCGUGCGGUAAGAGCGCACGGCCGGGCCGGCAACGGUUCCGGCGUGUAAACCCCACCUGGAGCAAAGCCAAAUAGGCAGGCGUUGAGGCGGCCCGCCGAGCCUGCGGGUAGGCUGCACGAGGCGACGGGCGACCGUCGUCCCAGAUGAAUGGCUGUCCACGACAGAACCCGGCUUACCGGCCGACUCCAUCU